ACUUGGAAUGCCGUUGACCCUCGCGUCUAAAUUUGUACAGGUUUCUUUUCCUUUCACAUUUCGGUCUGCAGAUUGAACUAAAUAAAACCUCAGCACCCAUUUCAACUUCAACCUUACGUUUGUCGUGACGCGAUUUACAUAUUUUGUGCUUGGAAAGUUUCUAAACGUUAAAUAAAGUGGGGGUGGACUGAUGGUGCACUGUGAUGUAAAUAGCUGGAAUAACCUAGUUUCAAGUUUUUAGUGAUUGUGUAAACUUGUGACGUGUAUAAUUAAAGCUAUUUAAAAUUGGGAUUUUGAUGCCUUUUCAAACAUGCGUCUCUCAUUAAUUAAGGCUCUCAGCAGUUAUUAUGCAAAACUGUGAAAAAACUUGGACCCAGUAGCGGAUGAUUCGUAUUAGAAUUGAAGAAAAUACGCACUUACAUAUCACUAAAAUCUGGUUCCAUGACAAAAAACAAAUUCAAGUUUGGCCAUCAAUUACAUAAAUUUUCAAACGCAAUUCAUUCCGGUUCUUUCUGCAAAAAUUUCUGCAACAGGCGGAAUUCAAACUGGAUUAAAAUAUUCUGCCGGGAUAGAGAAACAAAAGAAAAACAGGAUAAAGUCCGGCAGAUAAGCCUCCCGAUUAAUAGAUAAGACUUUAAUUACUUAAUUUAGUCAUGUAUAUAUGUAGAUAUAUUUAAGUCACUUCAGGUAUAAACCAGCAUAUUUUAGCACACACACA